rnacentral:rRNA from 1 species
CCUACGGGAGGCAGCAGUGGGGAAUAUUGCACAAUGGGGGGAACCCUGAUGCAGCGACGCCGCGUGGGUGAAGGAGUAUUUCGGUAUGUAAAGCCCUAUCAGCAGGGAAGAACAAUGACGGUACCUGACUAAGAAGCACCGGCUAAAUACGUGCCAGCAGCCGCGGUAAUACGUAUGGUGCAAGCGUUAUCCGGAUUUACUGGGUGUAAAGGGAGCGCAGGCGGCGCGUUAAGCCUGGUGUGAAAGCCCGCGGCCCAACCGCGGGACUGCAUUGGGAACUGGCGCGCUGGAGUGCCGGAGGGGUAGGCGGAAUUCCUGGUGUAGCGGUGAAAGGCGUAGAUAUUAGGAGGAACACCGGUGGCGAAGGCGGCCUGCUGGACUGCAACUGACGUUGAGGCCCGAAAGCGUGGGGAGCAAACAGGAUUAGAUACCCCAGUAGUC